rnacentral:sRNA from 1 species
AAAUCAAAGUUGAAUCCGGUUAGCUGGCAGCAGCCAGCGGCAAUCUAAUUUAUUUGUCUGGCCGCUGGCAAGUGCAGCAAAAUAUUGUUUUUGGGUUCUGCCGCUGCUGUUGCUGCUGCUGCUGCUGCUGCUGCUGUUGCUGCUGCUGCUGCUGUCGCUGCUGCUGCUGCUGUUGCUGCUGCUGCUGCUGUUGCUGCUGCUGUUGCUGCUGCUGCUCUGGCAUCGAAACGUAAUUGUUAUUUAUUU